rnacentral:rRNA from 1 species
CGACGGGUGAGUAACACGUAUCCAACCUGCCGUCUACUCUUGGACAGCCUUCUGAAAGGAAGAUUAAUACAAGAUGGCAUCAUGAGUCCGCAUGUUCACAUGAUUAAAGGUAUUCCGGUAGACGAUGGGGAUGCGUUCCAUUAGAUAGUAGGCGGGGUAACGGCCCACCUAGUCUUCGAUGGAUAGGGGUUCUGAGAGGAAGAUCCCCACAUUGGAACUGAGACACGGUCCAA